rnacentral:rRNA from 1 species
GACGAACGCUGGCGGCGUGCUUAACACAUGCAAGUCGAGCGGUAAGGCCCUUCGGGGGUACGACGAGCGGCGAACGGGUGAGUAACACGUGGGUGACCUGCCCUUAGCUCUGGGAUAAGCCUGGGAAACUGGGUCUAAUACCGGAUAUGACUCCAUAACGCAUGUUGUGGGGUGGAAAGCCUUGUGCGGCUAGGGAUGGGCCCGCGGCCUAUCAGCUUGUUGGUGGGGUGAUGGCCACCAAGG